UACGAAGGGGGCUAGCGUUGCUCGGAAUUACUGGGCGUAAAGGGUGCGUAGGCGGGUCUUUAAGUCCGGGGUGAAAUCCUGGAGCUCAACUCCAGAACUGCCUUUGAUACUGAGGAUCUUGAGUUCGGGAGAGGUGAGUGGAACUGCGAGUGUAGAGGUGAAAUUCGUAGAUAUUCGCAAGAACACCAGUGGCGAAGGCGGCUCACUGGCCCGAUACUGACGCUGAGGCACGAAAGCGUGGGGAGCAAACAGG
rnacentral:rRNA from 1 species